rnacentral:rRNA from 1 species
GAGUUUGAUCCUGGCUCAGAACGAACGCUGGCGGCGUGCCUAAUACAUGCAAGUCGAACGAGAAAGUGCCUUCGGGCAUGAGUAAAGUGGCAGACGGGUGAGUAAUACAUAGGUAACCUACCUCCAAGAUGGGGACAACCUUCCGAAAGGAGGGCUAAUACCGAAUGAGACCACGAUCACAUAAGUGAUCGGGGUUAAAGGUGGCCUCUACUUGUAAGCUAUCGCUUGGAGAUGGGCUUAUGCACCAUUAGCCUGUUGGUGAGGUAACGGCUCACCAAAGCUACGAUGGUUAGCUGAUCUGAGAGGUUGAUCAGCCACACUGGAACUGAGACACGGUCCAGACUCCUACGGGAGGCAGCAGUAGGGAAUAUUGCGCAAUGGAGGAAACUCUGACGCAGCGACGCCGCGUGGGUGACGAAGGUUUUCGGACCGUAAAGCCCUGUCGGAAGGAAAGAAAAACGGUUUGGAUAACACCCAAGCCGCUUGACGGUACCUUCAGAGGAAGCACCGGCUAACUACGUGCCAGCAGCCGCGGUA